GUUAAGCAUCAAGAACGCUAAUGCGUACCAACCGACAAAAUCGAUGCACGGUGGUUUAGAAUGCGGGAACUCUCCAAAAUAAUCGAGUAUA
rnacentral:ncRNA from 2 species